UAAAAGUAGUAUAACUGAAGGUAGUAAAAACAGACAUCUAUUUAAAGCGAAGUAUACGUGAUUAACUACUCCAUAUACUAUUCUUUUUUAUAUUCAACAUGUGGAUUCUGCUUGUAAAAAACAUCAGAAAAUAAAAUUAAAAAGGGGUAACCUUUAUCGUUUUUCAGAUACAAGCUGUCGAAAUCAACAGCAUGAUGCGCCAGAAAUACAAAGGAAUAUAUUUGAACAAUCAUAAUAAAGGCAGAUAUUUUUACUUUAUCAUGAUUUUCUUAUUCGUUUGUCCACAUAAUUGUUUAAAAAAGGUAAUGUAAUUUGCAAAUUAACGACGCAUCCAUUGGUGCAAAAGUUCUUUGCAAUCGUGGUAGUGUUCAAGCUAUAUCCUCUGUAAGUUGGAUUUUAAGUGAGAAAAAUAAAAAAAAUAUUCGGCGACAUAAUCGAUGUCUAUUGCCAUUUAGUAUCGUAAUACAAAUCGUGAGUGUGUGUAACACAUUUUCUUGAGUAUUGCAAUUUAUAAAUGCAAUCGAUUAAUACAGAAAUAUCUGUUGUACGAGUAUCUAGUUGUUAAAAAUUGCC
rnacentral:lncRNA from 1 species